rnacentral:lncRNA from 1 species
UGUCACUACACAAUAUUCCUGAGAUGUCAAGGUCACGGACUGAUUUGAGCUCCAGGCCAGCCCUCACCAGCUGCUCGCUCAACUGAAUCUCCACUCUGGCCAUUCAUGAGGCUUAAUGGGGGGGCUGGAGUAGACACCCCCUCUUUUCCUACGUGGACAGUGCAGGUGAUCCAACCCCUCUUUAUAUGUGGGACCUCAGUCUUUCUCUCUAACGCCUCCUCUCCGAAAUCCGCACCCCUCGUUGACCCCCGGCCCGCCGCCUCUCUCACAGCCUCUCCAGAAGCUGAGGCCCUUGACCACAAAGAGGGGCUGGCGCUGGCCACCCUUGCCAACCCUCGAUGACCGCAGGUGUAAAUGCGCCUUUCCGCCAGCAGGGGGCAGGAGCUGCCCGGCAAUCCAGUGCUGGGCGCGCGCCCCCCUCCGGCCCGAGUUUCCCUGCAGGUUCCCCGCUUCUCCUCAGCUCCCCGCCUCCUUCCUGGGCGGAGUGAGAGAGGGCGCCAGUGCCCCUGUGAGUCAAUGCGCGCUUGCGGGGGUGGUGGGUGACGCGGUGCCGAGCAUCGGUUCGGGAAAGCCAGGCUCCCGCCCUGGGAUGAUGCUCUUCGGGCUCCCGGGCUGCUCGAAUAACACUCCGGCGGCGCUGCCCCUGCGCCCCGAGAGACCGGGGCCACCCCGUUAUUCCUCAGGUCCCUUCACCCCAGGGGCUCCGCCACCGCGGGGGCGGGUCACAGCUCGUGCAGAGCAGUCUGGAGGCUCUACACGGAGGGCCUCCCGCCUCCUCCACAGAAACAAUACCCGGACUUGGGGGCACAGCCCGGGAACCAGGCGCUGCCGGAGAGGAGGGCGCGGAGCCGGGGAGACCGCUCCUCUCCCUCCGCACCCUCGCUGGUGCAGGCGGGUCCAACUGCCGCCGCCGCCCGGGCCGGCAGGGGGCGCUGCGCCGCCGUUCCCCGCGCGCCCGGGGACCAGAGGUGACCUCUGGUUCUUCCUCAGAGGUGGCUUGCCAAAGGCUUUUCGAAAUCCUGCUGCUUUUCCUAGUAUAAACCAGUGAGGAUGGCUAUACUGGAACAAAGCAGCAACACGAAGCCCCAUGUAUUUCUCUGUAGCGCACGUGCUGUGCACAAGGCCGUCUGGUACGACCCGUCUUCCCCGGAGAUAAGUUCUGAAGCUCCUGCACGGGUGUGGGGUCCGGGAGCUGUGGGGUGACAACAGAAACCCUUCCAGAUGCACCUGCUGUUACCGGACCGAAUGAAGCCUGGGAAAAGAACAUUCUGGGCACAGCGGAGCUAUUGUUUUUAUUAUGACUAUUAUUUAUUUAUUUUGUAAUGGGUAUCUGAGAAGUCAGUAUCAAUUGGGUUAAACUUUGUUCUUUUAAUGUUGCCAUUUUAGUAUAUGGCGGACAAACUGAGGUACUAGGAUGGACAAGUAACUUAUUUUAACAUUCACUUGGAGCAUAUUCUGGAGCAAAUUGAAAGUUCCCAUGUGUAAGACAAUAAAUUGCCUCGUUGAACCCUCACAACAGACUACAAGGUGGGUCUGAUUGUCCCCGUGUUAGAGAUUGUCUGAGGCCCAGACAGAAGGUAAGAGCAGGGAGCCGCAGAAUCCUGAGCGCCUGCCUCCAAGCUUGCGUGUUCUUCCUGGCACGCAGCUUCUCAGAGGGAGGCAGGGUACGAGGGAGGGUUAAGGUCAGUUCUGCCCACUCAGGCUGCCUCUGGUUCUCAUCUCUAAGAAGGGCAUAUCACCCAGACUGAAAUACCCGCCUUGUUGGGGUUUUGUUUCCUAGGUAGUCGUGUUUCCUUAAGCAAAUGUAUUUGGAGAGUGUGACAGAUGGAAUUAGUGUCUGUUCCAGUGGUUUUCUCACUUUUCACACCCCUGUCAUCUCCAGGUGUGAGCUGUGUUUAUUUAUUUUUUAUUUUUUUUAAAGAUUUUAUUUAUUUAUUUGUCAGAGAGAGAGAGAGCACAACGCAGGGGGAUCGGCAGGCAGAGGGAGAGGGAGAAGCAGGCUCCCCAUUGAGCAGGGAGCCAGAUGCAGGGGUUCUGGGAUCAUGACCUGAGCCGAAGGCAGACGCUCAACUGACUGAGCCACCCAGGCGUCCUGCAAGCUGUGUUUACCAACACAAGUAACGAAAUUAUGUUUGCUGUUUUAAUUGAUCAUACAUGCAUGUUAUACUAUAUAUUAUAUAUAUAAUUGUUAUGUGAGGCUUUUCAGUCCCUGAGUUAAAUGGUUUCACCACAGCAGAGACACUUGGUAUUCAGCUCUUCAUUAGCCCCCCUGCAUUAUAAAGAUAAAUGUACGUUUCUCUUUGGGUGUUUGCAAUAUUAUGUAUUAAGCUGCUGGCACUAUGGUAAAGUAGUUGUCAAAGUGUGGUCCAAGGACCUUGAUGGCCCCCCAAACUCUGUUGAGGUGUCUGUGAGGUCCUAACCCAUAUCACUAUCUGUGGGAGGCUGAAUUUUCUUUGUGUCAUCCGACAAAACAACACUGUGCCAUAGAUUGAAUGGAAAAGCAGACAUGACAAUCCAGCCAGGCACUAAAGGACUAUUCACAAAUGUGAAGCAAUGCUGUUGUUCAUAUUAAGUUUUGGUUUUGGAAAAUGGAAUUAUUUUUCAUAAAAAUAUAUCAAUGUCAUAUGCUGGAUUCACUAUUGGUAUUUUAUUUUAUUAUUUUUUAAAGAUUUUAUUUAUUUAAUUGAGAAAGAAAGCACAGGAGCGAGAGAGAUUGAGAGGACAAGGCAGGGGAGAGGCAGAGGGAGAAGCAGACUCCCAGCGCAGUGGAGAGCCUGACGUGGGGCUCGAUCCCAGGACCCUGGGCUCAUGACCCAAGCUGAAGGCAGACGCUUAACGACUGAGCUGCCCAGGCGCCCCCAGUAUGAGGUGGUUUUCCUAGGCAGUGCGGGAGGACGUUGGCUGGUGCUCAUCUGUCAGCAAAACAGCUGUAUGUGGUCACUCAUCAGUGACCUCCCCAGAACGGGGAGGGGUCGUACUGGGAAUCGGAAGAAGGGUGGGCUAGAUGGGUGAUGGGCUUUAAGGAGGACACUUCUUGUGAUGAACACGGGGUGUUGUAUGAAAAUGAUGAAUCACUGAAUUCUAUACCCGAGGGGUGCCGCCUGGGUGGCUUAGUCGUUGAGCGUCUGCUUUCGGCUCAGGUCAUGAUCCCAGGGUCCUGGGAUCGAGUCCCGCAUUGGGCUUCCUGCUCAGUGGGAAGCCUGCUUCUCCCUCUCCCACUCCUCCUGCUUGUGUUCCCUCUCUUGCUGGGUCUCUCUCUGUCAAAUAAAUAAAAUCUUUAAAAAAAAAAUUCUGGGGCGCCUGGGUGGCACAGCAGUUAAGCGUCUGCCUUCGGCUCAGGGCGUGAUCCCGGCGUUGUGGGAUCGAGCCCC